rnacentral:rRNA from 1 species
UAAUACAGAGGGUGCGAGCGUUGUCCGGAAUCACUGGGCGUAAAGGGCGCGUAGGCGGCGGGAUAAGCGUGUGGUGAAAGCCCGGGGCUCAACCCCGGGUCGGCCAUGCGAACUGUCCGGCUGGAGCACGGUAGAGGCACAUGGAAUUCCGGGUGUAGCGGUGGAAUGCGUAGAGAUCCGGAAGAACACCGGUGGCGAAGGCGGUGUGCUGGGCCGUGGCUGACGCUGAGGCGCGACAGCGUGGGGAGCAAACAGG